CGAACGAGUUCCAAGCGGCCGUGUUGUUUGUUUUAUCCUCUGGUGUUCGUGAUUUAAAAUAAACAAACACGAGUAUCCAAUCAAAUUAUUUGAGAAAAUUCCUUUACUGGAUCCCCCGGAUUAUUAUUUGGAUUAAACUCAAGAUGGCACCAAGGUAUCUUAUAUAUUCUUGGAACUGUUCGUCGUAGGUUCUUGUACAAACCAACAUGUACAUAUCAUUGAAGUGAAAUUUCAUUCGGUGUCUUAAAACAGGCAAGUGAUUUUCUUUAUUUUUUGACUGUAAAAAUGAAUCAUGCUAUUAGAAGUUUUAAAUUAAAAUAUGUGUAAAUAUUUUUUUAAUGCUUUUCGAUGUUCAGUGCUGAUAGACGUACUAAAGAAAAAAUCCCGUAGCAAUGUGUUACUGCGAAAGA